CAAUUCAAAUUUACUUAACAGGGGUUAAUAGAUAGAAAAUGUUAAUAGACAGCUAAGUAUUAACCAUGGGCCUGCCUGCAGGCCUCCUCUUCUUGGAUAAGGGGUGCAACAGUUACAGCAAAGGUAUCCAGUCUUGAUCUGAAGAUAACAAGAGAUGGAGACAGUGCCACUUUCCUUGGAGACUGGAAAGCACUUCCUCAUCAGCAUCAUGGAGAAACAGCUGCCUUCCUUCCUGUCUGGGAGAAAUCCUAUCUACCCGUCUCCAAUGAAAUUAAGCAAGGUGUGAUCAAUAACAGGGGAAGCCUCAUUUUAUACAACUCAGCAGAGUGAUGGGAAGUCCACAGGAAGAGAAGAACAGCAUGAGGUCAUCCUGAGCCUUGGAACAAAACAGUAAGUUUGGGAAGAUAUAUGGAAAGAGGAGAAGUCAUCUUGGCAUCUAUUACUGGACAGACACAAGGAGCCAGAGCUUUUGCAAGCUGAGAAAGAUAGUCCUUCAACCAUGGGGUGUCUCCGGGAAUGGAAGAGUGGUAAGGACCUUGAACAAAGAUUGUAGCUUAUUAAGUUAGGUCUCAGCCAUUAGAAUGUGUAUUUUUACUUUUCUUUGUAACCCUUUCUAACUUCAUUCCUUCUACUUGGUAUCACUUAACCCU